rnacentral:rRNA from 1 species
GUGAGGAAUAUUGGACAAUGGGCGCAAGCCUGAUCCAGCCAUGCCGCGUGCAGGAAGACGCAUCUAUGGUGUGUAAACUGCUUUUGCACGGGAAGAAACACUCCCUCGUGAGGGAGCUUGACGGUACCGUAAGAAUAAGGAUCGGCUAACUCCGUGCCAGCAGCCGCGGUAAUACGGAGGAUCCAAGCGUUAUCCGGAAUCAUUGGGUUUAAAGGGUCCGUAGGCGGUUUAAUAAGUCAGUGGUGAAAGCCCAUCGCUCAACGAUGGAACGGCCAUUGAUACUGUUAGACUUGAAUUACAAGGAAGUAACUAGAAUAUGUAGUGUAGCGGUGAAAUGCUUAGAUAUUACAUGGAAUACCAAUUGCGAAGGCAGGUUACUACUUGUGGAUUGACGCUGAUGGACGAAAGCGUGGGGAGCGAACAGGAUUAGAUACCCCUGUAGUCC